CUGUGUCUUUCAGUUUGGGUUUUAUAAAACUAUCAUAAAAAAGGUUCAUGUGAAAGUGAAAGACGACGGUUCAAAGACCGUUUUCAUCCAGAACAUCUCAGCCAGCGAGGCCAGAGAGCUCAGGGAGACUCUGACAAACAUCGGUUCCCUAAAGAACUUCCUGCCUCUGCUCAACAAUUACUCCAGCCGCAGAACACACCCUCUGGUUUUUAGAAGUCAUAUUUCGUCUGUCUCCUCCUGAAGGUUUGGCUGGAGUUUAAAUCUGUUGGCGGCGCCGACCGUCUGGGCGUUUGGUUCAGCCUCCUAAAUCGUCGUCCGGUUUACAGCAUCUACAGGGUCAAGAUCCCACAGAGCAGCAGCACACCGUCGCCAUCAGAACUGGCCGCUGAAGCUUUCCCUGGACCGGUCAUCCCAAACGGGAGCAGAGAUGUCCCUUGUGGCAGUACGCCGCCCUUUUCGGUCACCAUGACAACCAGUCCCUUUAUUUUUCCCAACCCAGCCUUGGUUUGUAACUUUGCCAUUGAGAACUAGAACCCUCCCAUGUUAAGAACUGUAAACCAACCUCUCUUGUCAAGACCAUUUUGGAGAAGUGAACAUGUAGCAGGUCUCCCAUGUUUAUUCAGAGUUUUCCAGGAUGAACCUUGAAAAUCUCUGCCUGUAAACUUUGUAAAUGGCUAACAAUGACUAUUAAUGGCUACACCUGUAGAUGUCUACAUUAUAAUGUCACACCCAUCCCUAAUUCACACACACAUUUACAAAGUCUUAAAUAAUCUUCGAAUCACGUGUUCAAUUUGAGUUUAAAAAAUAUAAUCUCAACCUUAGACUCUACAAGAAAUGUGCCCAAGGUCCUUAAAGGGGCCGUCCCAUGAUUUAAUUAAGCCUUCCAGAGUGAACUAUAUCCAUAUAUAUAUGAUCAUUUAUUACCUUUGGAACACUAAAAAGCAAAUUAUUUAUGAAACAGGCUCCACCUGCUGCGUGUGGCUGCCACUCAUUUCAUU